GCUCGAUUAGCUCAGUUGGUUAGAGCGUGGUGCUAAUAACGCCAAGGUCACAGGUUCGAUCCCUGUAUCGAGCA